AUUGAACGCUGGCGGAAUGCUUUACACAUGCAAGUCGAACGGCAGCACGGGGGCAACCCUGGUGGCGAGUGGCGAACGGGUGAGUAACACAUCGGAACGUGCCCAGUCGUGGGGGAUAACGUAGCGAAAGCUACGCUAAUACCGCAUACGAACUCUGGUUGAAAGCGGGGACUCGCAAGGGCCUCGCGCGAUUGGAGCGGCCGAUGGCAGAUUAGGUAGUUGGUGGGGUAAAGGCCUACCAAGCCGACGAUCUGUAGCUGGUCUGAGAGGACGACCAGCCACACUGGGACUGAGACACGGCCCAGACUCCUACGGGAGGCAGCAGUGGGGAAUUUUGGACAAUGGGCGCAAGCCUGAUCCAGCCAUUCCGCGUGCAGGAUGAAGGCCCUCGGGUUGUAAACUGCUUUUGUACGGAACGAAAAGGCCUCUUCUAAUACAGGGGGCUCAUGACGGUACCGUAAGAAUAAGCACCGGCUAACUACGUGCCAGCCGCCGCGUAA
rnacentral:rRNA from 1 species